rnacentral:rRNA from 1 species
CACAAGCGGUGGAUGAUGUGGUUUAAUUCGAUGCAACGCGAAAACCUUACCCACCUUGACAUGGCAGGAAUCCUGAAGAGAUUGGGAGUGCUCGAAAGAGAACCUGCACACAGGUGCUGCAUGGCUGUCGUCAGCUCGUGUCGUGAGAUGUUGGGUUAAGUCCCGCAACGAGCGCAACCCUUGCCAUUAGUUGCUACGAAAGGGCACUCUAAUGGGACUGCCGGUGACAAACCGGAGGAAGGUGGGGAUGACGUCAAGUCCUCAUGGCCCUUAUAGGUGGGGCUACACACGUCAUACAAUGGCCGGUACAGAGGGUAGCCAACCCGCGAGGGGGAGCCAAUCCCACAAAGCCGGUCGUAGUCCGGAUCGCAGUCUGCAACUCGACUGCGUGAAGUCGGAAUCGCUAGUAAUCGCGGAUCAGCAUGUCGCGGUGAAUACGUUCCCGGGUCUU